GUGGGGUUUUGCGACUCCACCUACAUUGCUUGUGAAGCUGCGUGGCCGCGUUUAAAUUACUGGGCGGCCCCUUUGUACCCUAUAUAUGGGCAGGGGGACGACUACUUUUGGUGCGCUUCCUGUCCCCCCUCCUUUCUGCUGUGACUUCCGUGCCGGCAGCGUUCAGCGUGGAGUUUAGCGUGACUGUUUGGAUUACUUCUCGUGAGUUUAAGUCGCGGGCUCGUAUUCGAUUGCCGGCUCAGCGCUGUGGUAUGCAUCUCUGAUGUUGCCUGGGCACUUUCACUUUAGAAAGUGUUAGUGAUUGUGUUGCCUUGCUGCGGGCAUUGUCUGCUGGAGCUGUUGGCUGUAGCCAUUGUCAGCUGGAGCUGCUGUGUGUUAUUACCUGCUGCUGUCUGCUGUGGCCAUUGUUUGCUGUGGCUGCUGGCAGAAAUUGAUGCUGUGCUGGAGCUGGGGGCCAAGCAUCUGACUUGGGGAUGUGGAAUUCUAUUCACCUUUCCUGUAGUGUGGAGCACGUUGGGUGUGAUUGAGAUGUGUGGCACUGACAUGUGUGGUUUGUAGUGUAGAGGAUAUUUCUAUCUCUGUACUUCCUUCGGUCAUGGUAAGCCCUUAACCCAGUUCCUUCCUAAAUUGUUACUGGUAGUUUAAAUAAAUUAUUGCUAGUUCUUUUUUUAUAUUGAUUCUCCAAGAAGGGAAUUCCUGGUCUGCCUGGUGGAAAAGAUGUUUUAAAAUAAUUGUCAAUAAAUCUCUAUUAAGUGAUUGUACCCCGUCUCUGGCCUUUGAGUGUGUUGAACCUGGGUGUCUUUUCUUCUCUAGGCCUUAAGUGCCAUUUUUUUUUCUUAGAGGUGAAAUCACCUCUAGGUGGCGUAGUCGUGCAUUGACAAAAUUUACGCCGCUCUGCCACACUUAGAUUUUCCCACCCCUAAAAUUCAGAAUUUUGACAUUUUCAUCCAUAUAUGUAUAUAUAAUGCAAGCAAAGUAAUAGAUUUUUAAAUGUAUAUUAUGUAGAUUUGAGAUCUGAUACUUUUUUACUCCAGUUGUACUUUUACUGCUACUUCAGUCAUGAUUUGACUGAAGUAUCAACACUUUCACUGGAGUCUGAUUUGAAGCUGCUCUUUCUCUCUCAACACAUUUCACACUACACGACUUACACUGUUGUUCU